GACGGGGGGGGCAAGUGUUCUUCGGAAUGACUGGGCGUAAAGGGCACGUAGGCGGUGAAUCGGGUUGAAAGUGAAAGUCGCCAAAAAAGUGGCGGAAUGCUCUCGAAACCAAUUCACUUGAGUGAGACAGAGGAGAGUGGAAUUUCGUGUGUAGGGGUGAAAUCCGUAAAUAUACGAAGGAACGCCAAAAGCGAAGGCAGCUCGUCUGGGAUCC
rnacentral:rRNA from 1 species